UACGGAGGGUGCGAGCGUUGUCCGGAAUUACUGGGCGUAAAGGGUCUGUAGGUGGCUUGCUAAGUCGAACGUGAAAUCCCUGGGCUCAACCCAGGAACUGCGUCCGAUACUGGUUGGCUUGAAUCCGGGAGAGGGAUGUGGAAUUCCAGGUGUAGUGGUGAAAUGCGUAGAUAUCUGGAGGAACACCGGUGGCGAAGGCGACAUCCUGGACCGGUAUUGACGCUGAGGCGCGAAAGCCAGGGGAGCAAACGGG
rnacentral:rRNA from 1 species